rnacentral:rRNA from 1 species
AUUGAACGCUGGCGGCAUGCCUUACACAUGCAAGUCGAACGGUAACAGGUCUUCGGAUGCUGACGAGUGGCGAACGGGAGAGUAAUACAUCGGAACGUGCCUAGUAGUGGGGGAUAACUACUCGAAAGAGUGGCUAAUACCGCAUGAGAUCUACGGAUGAAAGCAGGGGAUCGCAAGACCUUGUGCUACUAGAGCGGCCGAUGGCAGAUUAGGUAGUUGGUGGGAUAAAAGCUUACCAAGCCGACGAUCUGUAGCUGGUCUGAGAGGACGAUCAGCCACACUGGGACUGAGACACGGCCCAGACUCCUACGGGAGGCAGCAGUGGGGAAUUUUGGACAAUGGGCGCAAGCCUGAUCCAGCAAUGCCGCGUGCAGGAUGAAGGCCUUCGGGUUGUAAACUGCUUUUGUACGGAACGAAAAGCCCCGGGUUAAUACCCUGGGGUCAUGACGGUACUGUAAGAAUAAGCACCGGCUAACUACGUGCCAGCCGCCGCCGUAA